rnacentral:lncRNA from 1 species
UUUGGUCGUAGAAUAUUCUUAUUGUCGGGAAUCACCGUACGACGGCGCAGUCAUUUGUGGGCCCCAUAACGGAAAACGGUUGGAUGAAAGAAAACGACAAAGAUUGAGUUUUAUAAAUAACGGCGUAAAUUGUUACUGUUAACACUGUUGGGUUACCUGGUGGUUAAAAUAUAGUAAUACACGUGGUUAUACAGUAGCACACGGUAUUACACAGUAUUGUUGAAUUAUUGAUCCUUACGUAAGAAGGCACUACUCAAUAAUUG